UACGUAUGUCCCGAGCGUUAUCCGGAUUUAUUGGGCGUAAAGCGCACGUAGGCGGACAUUUAAGUCAGGGGUGAAAUCCCGGGGCUCAACCCCGGAACUGCCUUUGAUACUGGGUGUCUUGAGUGUGGUAGAGGUGAGUGGAAUUGCGAGUGUAGAGGUGAAAUUCGUAGAUAUUCGCAGGAACACCGGUGGCGAAGGCGGCUCAGUGGACCACAACUGACGCUGAGGUGCGAAAGCGUGGGGAGCAAACA
rnacentral:rRNA from 1 species